rnacentral:rRNA from 1 species
UACGUAGGGCGCAAGCGUUGUCCGGAAUUAUUGGGCGUAAAGAGCUCGUAGGCGGUUUGUCGCGUCUGCUGUGAAAACCUAAGGCUCAACCUUGGGCUUGCAGUGGGUACGGGCAGACUAGAGUGCGGUAGGGGUGACUGGAAUUCCUGGUGUAGCGGUGGAAUGCGCAGAUAUCAGGAGGAACACCGAUGGCGAAGGCAGGUCACUGGGCCGCAACUGACGCUGAUGCACGAAAGCUAGGGGAGCAAACAGG